CUGUACCCAGUGUCGAGUUCUCCUGUGGAGGGGACAUAGCUCUGCAGUGUUCAUGGGAAAGGUGCCAACUGACAGUGCUGUUAAAAGUCCCAUGGCUGCAUCCUAGCAAAUCAAAGGCCAGAUUCAGCACUAUGACUUGACUGCUUUGUACUGCUCCAGGCAGCGCAAUUGUCAGUUUGGCGUCACUGACUGGGCUGCUCUGGCCUCUUUGUGCUUGCUCCAGAGUUCUGCAAAGCAGCACACACUGGUGAACUGGGGGUUAUGGAUUGGGAGAUGCCCUGUGAUGAUGUAUGACGACUGGCCUGGUUACUGGGGUUUUUCUGUAUCCAUAUAGUGAUUUAAUUCAACAGGAACCUGACUGGAAAAACAGUCAGGAGGCAAAAGAAUGGCUCAAGAUAAGCCAGCCCUGAGCAAACACUUGAGAGUUGUUAAGGGCAAUGGCACAGCCAUUGGCUUCGAGGACCCUCCCUCAAUCUCCUGCUGAGUCCACAGUACUGGUUUUGACCAGAAGGGUCAAAGGCUGGGAACAAAGAAGAACAGAAGAACUAAUGCAGGGUUUAUAAGUGACUCUUCCUCCAGAGAGGGGCAACUGUUGUCCAGCUGAACCAGACUGAGCCACAGGACCCCACUGGGGGUGCCUGAAGAAGUUAGACCUGCCUGGGUUACCUCACAGAAUGGUAGGAUUUCAGCCUCCCAGCUCUCUUCAAGCAGGACCCGUGCACCAUCACUGGACAGGCUGGCUAUUCAUCCUGAUCUCAGCAGGAGGUGAAGCGGCCACUGACGAAGCCUUUGGGAAGAGAGUACUUUGUUUUUUCUAACCCUUCUGAAUUAUGUGUGCCUGGUGUGAGGAGUGUCAUUAACUCUAGCAGCAGGAGUGGAUAUUCUGCCAGUGUGUGUGUGGG